CCGCCUUGGAUGGACAGAGGGACGGAGCAGCAAGCAUCCGGCCUCCCCGGCUUCCCUGCAGCGGUCUCCAACUGCUGUCUGCCCGCUGCCCGCCUGCCUGGCAUCUCUCUCCCGGUGCUAGCUGCAUUCCUGGUCUGGGAGCAGGGAGACUGUCUGACCCCUGUGUCACACUGGAUGGUUUUACAGAGGUGCCCCACCUGAUCCUGGAUGGACGUCAUCACCCUACAGUGGUCCUUUCAUGACAGGCCGCAGGGUCACCAUAUGACAAACAGGACACAUCUGCCACAACUGGGAGAUGGGGCUGCUUCCCAAAGGACCCUGUGCCAGGUGAAGAUGAGCCAGGGUCUCUGUACUGGCUGGUUUUGUGUGUUGACUUGACACAGGCUGGAGUUAUCACAGAGAAAGGAGCCUCCGUUGAGGAAAUGCCAUGAGAUC
rnacentral:lncRNA from 1 species